UACAGAGGUCUCAAGCGUUGUUCGGAUUCAUUGGGCGUAAAGGGUGCGUAGGUGGCGCGCUAAGUCGGGUGUGAAAUCUCGGAGCUUAACUCCGAAACUGCAUUUGAUACUGGCGUGCUUGAGGACUGGAGAGGAGACUGGAAUUCACGGUGUAGCAGUGAAAUGCGUAGAUAUCGUGAGGAAGACCAGUGGCGAAGGCGGGUCUCUGGACAGUUCCUGACACUGAGGCACGAAGGCCAGGGGAGCAAACGGG
rnacentral:rRNA from 1 species